UUGAAGCUUCGGCAGAUUUAGCUGGUUUCUAGUGGCGGACGGGUGAGUAACGCGUGGGUAACCUGCUUUAUACAGGGGGAUAACAGUCAGAAAUGACUGCUAAUACCGCAUAAGCGCACAGAGCUGCAUGGCUCGGUGUGAAAAACUCCGGUGGUAUAAGAUGGACCCGCGUUGGAUUAGCUGGUUGGUGAGGUAACGGCCCACCAAGGCGACGAUCCAUAGCCGGCCUGAGAGGGUGAACGGCCACAUUGGGACUGAGACACGGUCCAAACUUC
rnacentral:rRNA from 1 species